CAAUCUUUCAGUUCUGCUACAGCCAGCUGGUCAUUCACUACGAGCUCAUUCUCACCAGGGAACAUACUGGCUAGCAGGUCUAACUCAGCAAGCUGGGCCUCCGCCUGCUCUAUCUCAAUCAUUUUUGGACAUGUAUAUAAUAUGCUAAGUCCUAUGCUAAGACCAGCCUGAGCAACAUACUGAGACCAUCUAUACAAAAACAAACACAAAAAAACUCUUAAUAUCUCCCUCUCAUGCCGAGCCAAAGCUGGACUGUGCUGCUGCCAUCUCGGCUCACUGCAACCUCCCCGCCUGAUUCUCCUGCCUCAGCCUGCCGAGUGCCUGCGAUUGCAGGCGCGCGCCGCCACGCCUGACUGGUUU